rnacentral:sRNA from 1 species
UGGCAAAUUUGGGAUUACCUUUUCAGUC